rnacentral:rRNA from 1 species
GACGAACCGUGCGAACGUUGUUCGGAAUCACUGGGCUUAAAGGGCGCGUAGGCGGGCCGGCAAGUCAGGGGUGAAAUCCCACGGCUCAACCGUGGAAGUGCCUUUGAUAUUGCCGGCCUCGAGGGAGGUAGGGGCGUGCGGAACUUCCGGUGGAGCGGUGAAAUGCGUAGAUAUCGGAAGGAACACCGGUGGCGAAAGCGGCGCGCUGGACCUCUUCUGACGCUGAGGCGCGAAAGCCAGGGGAGCAAACGGG